UUUGAGUGUGUAUUUAAAAGAGUCAAAGGCCGCACGAGCUUGACUGUUAGUUGAGAGUAGCGAGGCAACACCAAACCCAGCAAGAUGAUCAAUCAUGUUUAUCAGCCUCAUUUUCACUCCAAUUUUCUCUCUCCUACGAAACCCACAAAGGAAUUUGCUAUAUAUUCGGGAUUCUGAUUUUCUGCACAAACAAUAAUCGAAUGAACAUGCCGAAGUAAACGAUUGAGUUGGUUGUCCUGACUCCUGAGACUUCUGGUCAAAAUGAAGUUGCUAAUGCAAGCACAAACUAGUCUUUUGCUGGAGGGUCCAAACACAUAUACUAUAUUAGAGCCAAGUAAUCUUUAGUCACUUUUCUGUAUAUUGUUGGCAAUGGAGGUAAAGGGGAUAGACCGAGUAGUCAUAGCAAAGCCAGUUGCUUCAAGGCCGUCUUCUACUGGCUCGCUUCUUUCUGGUAACAUCAAUUCCUCACCACCACCUGGUAAAGCAUGCUCUGAGAUGGCAGUUGCUGCAAUUAGGCCUAAAACAGUGAGGGUUAAGCCCACGAUCUAUCACUCUCCACAAGCCGAAAACAUUCAGGUCGGCACUUUAUUUGGAGCAGCUCCUUAUUUUUCAUCUGAUGACAUGUCCGGGGUCCAAAAUCAAUCCACCAUCUUCAAACCGCUGGCAAAGGUUGUCUCUAAGGAAACUGUUUCUUUCUUGCUCAGUAUGGGAAAUUCCAGUGUUACUCAUCAACAGGCACUAUUCCAGGUUGAUGUGUCUGCUCAACAAGAAAAACAUCUUUUAUCCUCAAAUCAGCAUUCAAGUAAUCUAUCACAGGUUGAGAUAUGUCAAUUGGUUGAGAACCCUACAAUGGAGCAACAGAUGUUAGACGGAGAGCCAAGAAUGAUGCCAUCUUCUACAGCUGGUGCUGAUCGGCCCUCUUGUGACGGGUAUAAUUGGAGAAAAUAUGGACAAAAACAAGUGAAGGGUAGUGAGUAUCCAAGAAGUUACUAUAAGUGUACACAUCCGAAGUGCCUAGUGAAAAAGAAGGUUGAGAGAUCAUUAGAUGGGCAGAUAACGGAAAUUGUCUACAAGGGAGAACAUGACCAUCCAAAGCCAGAUCAUGCCAAGGGUUUAUUUUCCGGCACUAAUAAAGAUCACAAUAAUGGUGACCCCAAGUUGCAUGACAAUAUUUGUGAGAGAAAUGGAGGUCUCGAGAGAUUGACGGAGAGCGAAAAUGCAGUGCGAUUGUCCACUCAGUCUACGUUCUCUGGAACCUGUGCCCCAUUUUGUUAUCCUGUUGAUGCGGAAAAGCACUGUGCUAGUGACAGGACUGCCGUCAAUUCUGCUGCACUUGAUCGAAAUUGUGAAGAAGUGGUCAAAGGAUUAAAAGCUGAUGGUGAUAGAAUAAAAAACAAGCGAAGGAAACAGGAUAAUCAAAACAAUGAAGCUGGAAAAUUAGGUCAAGGUGUACAGGGGCCUCGUAUCUUGCUGCAAAACAACACCGAGCCUGAAAUCACGGGGGAUGGUUUUCGCUGGAGAAAGUAUGGACAGAAGGUAGUGAAAGGAAAUCCAUUCCCCAGAUUUACAGUUGUGCAGCGGUUGACAUUGUCCAUUCAUGCACAACCUAUGUUACUCAGACUCUUCGUUUUACCUCAAGUACCCGUGUCGGAUCCUCGACACUUGGACAUGGAAGUUACUAUCGUUGCACCAGCGUCAAAUGCAAUGUACGGAAGUAUGUGGAAAGAGCAUUGGAUGAACCUAGUGCAUUCAUCACAACUUAUGAGGGAAGGCAUAACCAUGAAAUGCCGAUAAAGAUCAUGAAUUAUUCAGCAGUUGCUGAGCCAAAUACCCAAGCCCGUACUAGUAAAGAUAAAAGGAUGCAUGGAUUUAGAUCCUCCCAGUGAGCACCUAUUUAACAAAUAAUGGUUUGUUUUGUACAUAUUGUGUAGUCAUAAGUCAUAACAUGAGAAGACUAGUCAUCCAUGACCCAUCUAUGGAGAACUAAGGAGCAGGUCUCGGUAUUAUUAUCGAGGGUUCGAGAAAUGGAAGCUUUCUAACUUGUGGAAUGUGGAGUCAUUUCAUUUUGUGUUGAUGAAACGCCCUUUCCGAUCUGCAUUUUAAUCGAUCUUGGAAAAAAUGGAAUCUAUAGGGCUUUUUUUUAGACCACCCUAAUUAAGUAAUGGUUUGUUUGGUACAUAUUGUAUUAUUGUGUAAGAAAUUAUACCAAGGAUCUUAAUGUACAAGAUUAUUAAAGGCUCUUUGCAAUUGUGACUCUCUUUUCCUUAUU